GAGUUUGAUCUUGGCUCAGAUUGAACGCUGGCGGCAGGCCUAACACAUGCAAGUCGAGCGGUAGAGAGAAGCUUGCUUCUCUUGAGAGCGGCGGACGGGUGAGUAAUGCCUAGGAAUCUGCCUGGUAGUGGGGGAUAACGCUCGGAAACGGACGCUAAUACCGCAUACGUCCUACGGGAGAAAGCAGGGGACCUUCGGGCCUUGCGCUAUCAGAUGAGCCUAGGUCGGAUUAGCUAGUUGGUGAGGUAAUGGCUCACCAAGGCGACGAUCCGUAACUGGUCUGAGAGGAUGAUCAGUCACACUGGAACUGAGACACGGUCCAGACUCCUACGGGAGGCAGCAGUGGGGAAUAUUGGACAAUGGGCGAAAGCCUGAUCCAGCCAUGCCGCGUGUGUGAAGAAGGUCUUCGGAUUGUAAAGCACUUUAAGUUGGGAGGAAGGGCAGUAAAUUAAUACUUUGCUGUUUUGACGUUACCGACAGAAUAAGCACCAGCUAACUCUGUGCCAG
rnacentral:rRNA from 1 species